AAUCCUGGCUCAGGAUGAACGCUAGCGGCAGGCUUAACACAUGCAAGUCGAGGGGCAGCAUAAUGGAUAGCAAUAUCUAUGGUGGCGACCGGCGCACGGGUGCGUAACGCGUAUGCAACCUACCUUUAACAGGGGGAUAACACUGAGAAAUUGGUACUAAUACCCCAUAAUAUCAUAGAAGGCAUCUUUUAUGGUUGAAAAUUCCGAUGGGUUAAGAGGAUGGGCAUGCGUUGUAUUAG
rnacentral:rRNA from 1 species